rnacentral:lncRNA from 1 species
CCCUGCAUCCUGAAUAUGUUCAUGAGUAUGGAAUCAUGUCAAACUCAAACAUAUAUUCAUAUCAAUUCUUAAUUAACCAAUGAUGACUCCAAUGAAGAAGUAUUAAAAAAUUUUUCUAAUCUCUUUUUUGCUUUUGGCCAAAAGAUUUUUCUCAAGUCAUCUAAAAUUGAGAAUACACAGGAUGCAAUCUCCUCUUACUAGGAGCGAUCGAUUCCAUGUUGACCUACUCACAACCUCCAUAUACACUCCACCAUAUCCAGAAUACCCUAUACAUAUCUUAAAGCCA